rnacentral:misc_RNA from 1 species
AUUUCCAGGAUGCAUGUCUGCAUGGAUGAAAUUAUCUAUCUGCAAAAUGAUUGGCUUAACAAUAAUCAAUUAUUCAUCCAAAAAACACAGCACCUAUAAAUUUACAGUUGGCCACUUUCUGUGUGUUAUAUAAAUGUCCAGUCCUUUGCUUAUUUGGUGGGAAAGCAGGGGUGAAUUGCAAGAAGGAGAAAAAUGCAUCCUCUAUAAAGUUUUAAACAACAGGAAAAGAAAAAAAAAA